CUAAGAGAUCGUUCGCUCUCGAGGAGGUUGUGCAUCGUAAUCCCACCCCGUCCACCAAACAAGUGAACGUCGUCUGUAUGUCUCUCUAUGAACAGUCGAACGCUCAAUAGUGCCGUAGUAAAUAGUACUAUUAAAAUCUUAGUUUUUUUUCUGUAUAUUUGGAGCGCAUGCGUGACUUAGUGACCCGCAAUAAAUUCUUCUGUUCCUCCUCUAAAAGAAACUAAAGAGUGAAAGUGAGUGUUCUAUGAGUGACAGGACAUGGCUGAGUUGAUGUGUCGCGCGGAGAUGGACGGUGCUCGUGAGGGAAGGGUUAAAAAAGCUAAUAAUGUGGAAGAUGGUAAAGAUGUGAACGAUGAUGGAUGUAAACAAUAUGAUGGAGUUUUAUGUAGUGAAAAUAUUCUUCAUGACGCAGGAAGGUUUAAAGGAAAUAAGGUUCCAUUUGAUGGUGGAAUUGAUCUGGGAGGAGAAGAAACACCACGACGCCAAAACUUCCCAGAAUGCUCCACCCAAACCCUGGAUCUCAUCCGGGAUCAACACCGGCAUAAACCUUGCCCCGCCAUCGCAAAUAACAAUAUCGAUAUCCAGAUUCGACCGACUUUGGUCCAGUCGCGAUCCAUAGGCGUCGGCACUACCGACGACCAUUGUGACGUCAUAACGGUUAACUGUCUGCCUUCGUGUAGUGAGAAUCAACCGAAACGCGCCGGGGUGGUUGAUGAGGAAACCGUGAUAAGGAGGAAAUCUUUAGUGCCUAUGAGCAGUAUGGAGGAGGAGAAUUUGAGGGAGAGGUUGCAUUUGGCUCACCUGAAGUUGUGCAGCGAGGUGGUGAACAAGGAGCAGAAGUAUACGAGGGAUGGGUUCAAGAGGUUGUUGCAGUCAAAGGAUUUAUCCGAGCUGCUAUUCAAGUUAUUCGACCAGGACAGGACUCAGAAUCUCACCCAGGAACAUUGGAUAGAAUUCCUGAAGCAGCGUAUGGUGAACGAGAAACAAAUAGACUUUGUAGAACAACUAGAAAGCGUUGCUUUCUGUUUAUGUGGAGAUGAUGUUAUAAAACCUCAUCAUUUCUAUCAAAUCUUUAAUGCAAAAGGGAUAAGUGAUAAAUUAUUCAGAUUGAUCGACGAAGAUAAUACUGGAACGGCAACGUCAGAAAAAAUUAUGGAGUUUUUAGCAACAGUAACCAAUACAAGACCACGAACAGGUAUAGACCAGAACAAUUUAAACCGAUUAGAACAACUUUUUCGACAGACGGUAUGCAAUGGCAAAGAAAUCUGCAGGGAGGAUUUCCAAAAAAUUGUUAUAUCGAAAAACCCCUUUUUUACUGAAAGGGUGUUCCAAAUAUUCGAUAAGGACAAUUCUGGAUCGAUAUCGCUGCAAGAAUUUCUAGAUGCGAUGCACCAGUUUGCUGGACAGACUCCUGAAGACAAAAUACGGUUUUUAUUUAAAGUCUAUGAUAUUGAUGGUGACGGUCUUAUUCAACACAAAGAACUACAGCAUGUAAUGAGAGCUUGCAUGGAAGAAAAUGGAAUGGAAUUUAGUGAAGAACAAAUUGAAGAUUUAACAGUCGCCAUGUUCGAAGACGCAGACACUAACAACAGAGGAGCCAUCACUUAUGAAGCACUAAAAAAUCAAUUGGAAAAACAUGGUGGUUUAUUGGAAAAUUUGUCCAUCAGCAUUGAUCGUUGGUUAGUACCACCUGCUGCAACAACCAAGCCAUCAACGUCAUUACUCAGAAAAAUAGUAUCAUACCGACCUUACUAUUUCACCAUACCAUACAUCAGGAAUAAUUUGGUUUAUUUGAGCUUCUUGUUUGGAUUUCUCUUAGUAAAUUUUGCUUUAUUUGUGUCCAGAGCAAUCCAAUACAGAGAAAGCAAUUGGUUUACAAUAUUUGCAAGAGCUUGCGGGCAAUGUCUUAAUUUUGACUGUAUGUUUAUAUUAGUGUUAAUGUUACGUCGGUGUAUUACAUUUUUAAGGACGCGAGGAUAUGGAGCAUUUUUACCAUUGGACCAACACAUUUAUUUUCAUAAACUCACUGGAUGGUUAAUAUUUGCUUUCAGUUUUUGGCAUUCAGUGAUGCACACCUUUAAUUUUAGUUUAGUGGUUGUAAACGAUCCAAAAAUAAACAGUAACAACUACACCACAGCGGAAUGGCUGUUUACAAGCAAACCAGGGUUAUUCGGCUUAAUUCCUGGAUGGGCCAAUCCAACAGGUGUUGCGCUGUUUAUUAUUCUGUUAGUUAUGUUUAUUUGUUCCCAAGCAUUUGUCAGAAGAGGUGGUUGCUUUGAGGUUUUUUACUGGACUCAUUUGAUGUACAUUCCUUUCUGGCUUCUACUCAUCAUACAUGGUCCUAGAUUUUGGAUGUGGUUUAUUAUCCCUGCCAUACUGUAUUUUGGAGAGAGAAUGUCUCGAAUUGACACUAUGUCGAACAAAGGUAAAACCUACAUUAGUUCGGGAUUGUUGUUGCCGUCAAAAGUAACCCAUUUGGUGAUCAAGAGACCUCCGCAAUUUGAUUUUCAUCCAGGAGAUUAUAUUUUUGCCAAUAUUCCUGCUAUUGCCAAGUAUGAAUGGCAUCCAUUCACUAUUAGUAGUGCUCCAGAACAAGAGGAUUACAUGUGGCUUCAUAUAAGAGGUGUUGGACAGUGGACUAACAGAUUAUACGAUUACUUCGAAAAAGAACAGGAAAAACUCCACAAUGGCCAGACAAAUAAUCGUCAAACAUGUUCAAGCGUGAAUACACAAAAUAAUGCUGCGGAGAGUACCAAUCAAACAGCUUUAUCUCAGAUGAAAGCCACCAUUACUAGAACACUAUCAAGGGAAAAAAGUAUCAAGAAGAAGACUGGUGUACAGCUAGUCGGGUUUUCAAAUGAUUUAAAUUUUGACAAUACUGCUGAUGGUCCACAGGGUGAUGCUACUUUUACAAUUGGAAAUAGUCCAGAUGUCUCUAAUAAAAGUAGACGUAUAACACCAGAAAGAAGACUCCAAAAAUUACUGUUCACGAAAAGAGCACCAUUAGAAAAAUCCUUGUCACUACCGGAUGUCCAAAAUAAUAUCAAAAAAAGGGAAAGGCUAUUAGCACUACGAGAAUAUAUGAGAUCUGAGUCAGAAAAAAGCUUUGAUCAAUGCCAAAUGAGGAAAGCUCGAAUGAAAUCAUUAGGACUUGCUUAUUUGAGCCCACAAAACAAAAGUCUGGCUCAAAGUUUCAGAUAUAUGAGAAAUAAGCCAACUAUUAUAGCCUUCAAAACACCUAGUUUAGAGAAUUGUGAGAAAAAGGAGAACACAUCAUUUAUAUCAACUAUAGGAGGUGAAAGUAACUAUUAUAGUCCCGAACGACAAGUAGAAGAAGGCCAAAGUUUUCAGCUUCAGGAUAUGACAGCCGCCGAUCCAAAACUGAAACCUUUAAAUUAUCCUGUAGGCAAACCAUUAGAAGUAGAAUAUUGGAGGGUGCUUAGGAAGAAGGGUUAGUGAUGAAAAUCUGAUAAUGAAGGAUAUUAAAGUGAAAUAUUCGGACAAGCAAGGGACAGAGAUUUUCUUAGAUGGACCUUAUGGAGCACCAUCUAGUCACAUAUUUAGAGCUCAACAUGCGGUACUUAUUGCGACCGGUAUAGGAGUGACCCCAUUUGCUUCCAUUUUACAGUCCAUAAUG
rnacentral:misc_RNA from 1 species